rnacentral:rRNA from 1 species
GAUGAACGCUGGCGGCGUGCUUAACACAUGCAAGUCGAACGGAAAGGCUCCUGCUUGCAGGGGUACUCGAGUGGCGAACGGGUGAGUAACACGUGGGUGAUCUGCCCUGCACUUCGGGAUAAGCCUGGGAAACUGGGUCUAAUACCGGAUAGGACGAUGGUUUGGAUGCCAUUGUGGAAAGUUUUUCGGUGUGGGAUGAGCUCGCGGCCUAUCAGCUUGUUGGUGGGGUAAUGGCCUACCAAGGCGUCGACGGGUAGCCGGCCUGAGAGGGUGUACGGCCACAUUGGGACUGAGAUACGGCCCAGACUCCUACGGGAGGCAGCAGUGGGGAAUAUUGCACAAGGGGCGCAAGCCUGAUGCAGCGACGCCGCGGGGGGGAUGACGGCCUUCGGGUUGGAAACUCCUUUCGCUAGGGACGAAGCGUUUUGUGACGGUACCUGGAGAAGAAGCACCGGCUAACUACGUG